AACAAACGCUGGCGGCGUGCCUAACACAUGCAAGUUGUACGAGAAAGGGUCCUUCGGGGCCUGAGUAAAGUGGCGCACGGGCGAGUAACGCGUGGAUAAUCUGCCCUUCAGUUGGGAAUAACUCAUCGAAAGGUGGGCUAAUACCGAAUAAUGCUGUGAGACCUCGGUUGAUCAGCCAAAGAGAGCCUCUGCUUGCAAGCCCUCGCUGAAGGAUGUGUCCGCGUACCAUUAGCUAGUUGGUAGGGUAAUGGCCUACCAAGGCGACGAUGGUUAGCUGGUCUGAGAGGAUGAUCAGCCACACUGGAACUGAGACACGGUCCAGACUCCUACGGGAGGCAGCAGUGAGGAAUCUUGCGCAAUGGGGGCGACCCUGACGCAGCAACGCCGCGUGAGUGAGGAAGGUCUUCGGAUCGUAAAGCUCUGUCGGAUGGAAAGAACCGUAUAGGGGUAAACAGCCCCUGUGUCUGACGGUACCAUCAAAGGAAGCACCGGCUAACUCCGUGCCAGCCGCCGCGGUAAUAC
rnacentral:rRNA from 1 species